rnacentral:rRNA from 1 species
GAUGAACGCUAGCGGCAGGCUUAAUACAUGCAAGUCGAGGGGCAGCAUGGUGUAGCAAUACACUGAUGGCGACCGGCAAACGGGUGCGGAACACGUACAGAACCUUCCUUCGAGCGGGGAAUAGCCCAGAGAAAUUUGGAUUAAUACCCCAUAGUACAAUAGAGUGGCAUCACUUUGUUGUUAAAGAUUUAUCACUUGAAGAUGGCUGUGCGGCUGAUUAGGUAGUUGGCGGGGUAACGGCCCACCAAGCCUGCGAUCAGUAACUGGUGUGAGAGCACGACCAGUCACACGGGCACUGAGACACGGGCCCGACUCCUACGGGGGGCAGCAGUAAGGAAUAUUGGUCAAUGGACGAAAGUCUGAACAAGCCAUGCCGCGUGGAGGAUGAAGGUCCUCUGGAUUGUAAACUUCUUUUAUAUGGGACGAAAAAAGGCCUUUCUAGGUCGUCUGACGGUACCAUGUGAAUAAGCACCGGCUAACUCCGUGCCAGCCGCCGCCGUAAUAC